rnacentral:lncRNA from 1 species
UGGGCUAAGAUGGGCUUAAGAUUUCCAAAUCGAAAAAGUGAUAAGAGCUAAAAAAUGGAAUUAAAAAUAUUCACUUUUAUAUAAAAAAAAUGAUCUUAUAGAUAUGCAAUAGUACCCUUUAUAUUGUUCAACAUACUUUUAAGCUGAAGCAAAUUGAAUCAAAAGAUGGGUAUAUUGUAUAGCUAUUUAUAUUUUGAAAUAAAAUAAAAUGAUAGUAGUAUAUAAC